rnacentral:rRNA from 1 species
GACGUAGGGCGCAAGCGUUGUUCGGAAUUACUGGGCGUAAAGGGUUCGUAGGUGGCUUGCUCAGUCAGACGUGAAAUCCCUCAGCUUAACUGGGGAACUGCGUCUGAUACUGGCGAGCUUGAGUGCAGGAGAGGAACGCGGAAUUCCAGGUGUAGCGGUGAAAUGCGUAGAUAUCUGGAGGAACACCGGUGGCGAAGGCGGCGUUCUGGACUGCAACUGACACUGAGGAACGAAAGCCAGGGGAGCAAACGGG